rnacentral:tRNA from 1 species
UGGGAACUAGUGAUUUGUCACAAAUGGAUUUGAACCAUUAAAUGGAGCCAAAGACUCCGCUCCCAA